UUCUGUUGCUGUCUCUGUUGAAUCGAACAAGUUACGAAACAUGACAAACCUCCUGAUUGUGCUUCUCCUUGCAUUGUUUGCUGUGAUCGGAAUUUCCUCAGCAAUACCGAUUCACAUUAUUUUGCUCAACAUAGACGAAGACAUGAAGCAAGCUGACAUUACAGGCAUUUGGAAACCUUAGUAGCAUGUCCAAUUAGGAGAUCGUUGUGCAGCGAUGUUCACAGAAAUGGUUGUCUCGUAAAUAAAGUGCCUCCUAAGAUAUCAAAGUGUUGCUUAAUUUAAAACUAUAUCACAAGCUAUUUUUUAUAUAAAUAUUUCAAAUUGUUAAGCUAAAAACUAUAUCACACGAACAUAAAGUGUAACGCUUUAUUUGUUAUCACCAAUCUACCACAUUGCAAAAUUGAACGCUAAACCUUAUCGGCUACUGUUAUUCAACCUUGCAACACACACACACACAGGCAACACGCUAUUAUGUUCGAUUAGUCACAAAUUGUUAAAGCACAACUUAUCGACACAUAGUGUAAAAUAAUUUGCUUUAAAUUACCCACUGAGCUCUGGAAGUUGCUCCAGUGCGUUAACCACACACAUCAACAGCAAAACGGUGCCCUAAAGAUCGACAGAAACAAUGAAGUUGUCGAUGAAACUGUUCAUCCUCUCACAAGUAGUUGUGACGGGAGUUGUUGUGGCGCGGAAGUAUCCCGACACCUUCCGUAAUUUCUGCUCAGGUGCAGAAACCUCUCCAAAAGAUCCAGGGGCAAACGUUACUGCGACUGGUGCUAAGAGA